rnacentral:rRNA from 1 species
AGCUCCAAUAGCGUAUAUUAAAGUUGUUGCAGUUAGAACGCUCGUAGUCGGAUUUCGGGGCGUUCCGACCGGUCUGCCGAUGGGUACGCACUGGUCGGCGCGUCCUUCCUUCCGGAGACCGUGCCUACUCUUAACUGAGCGGGGGCGGGAGACGGAUCGUUUACUUUGAAAAAAUCAGAGUGUUUCAAGCAGGCAGCUCGCUCUUGCAUGGAUUAGCAUGGGAUAAUGAAAUAGGACUUUGGUGCUAUUUUGUUGGUUUCGAACACCGAAGUAAUGAUUAACAGGGACAGUCAGGGGCACUCGUAUUCCGCCGAGAGAGGUGAAAUUCUCAGACCAGCGGAAGACGAACCACUGCGAAAGCAUUUGCCAGGGAUGUUUUCACUG